AUGGUUCCACAAAAUGCUAGAAUAAGUUUCAACAUAAGUACAAAAUUACACAAGAAAAACAUUCCACUCAUGCAAAAGUGUUUUAAAAGUCAUCAAAUAUCAGAUGAAGAACACGUGGAUGAACUCCGCCGGCGUCCAAGUCACGUUGGCGGAUACUACGAUUCUGCAACUGACGGAGAUCGAGCGAAGAGUGCUCCAAAAGGUGGCUUUGGCAAAAUUGCAAGCUUUGAACCUAGGCGUCAGCGUGAAAAUUCCAUCAGAGAUCGUGGCUGCCCCAAGGAAACGGCGACCCUACUUAAUGAAGCGGAAAGCUUUGACGACCGGGAUUUUCGAACCAAGUCGGAACAAAGAUGAGUGGGGAAAAGAUGAAAAGGUGCGAAUUUCUUCAUUUACUUUCUUUUUAUCCUUUUUCGCCUGUUGGAAUUCUUAUAAAAUAGAAAAUUCUUAAUUCUUUAAUUCUAAUGAACUCUUAUAU
rnacentral:lncRNA from 1 species